rnacentral:rRNA from 1 species
CCUACGGGGUGCAGCAGUGGGGAAUAUUGCACAAUGGGGGAAACCCUGAUGCAGCGACGCCGCGUGAGUGAAGAAGUAUUUCGGUACGUAAAGCUCUAUCAGCAGGGAAGAAAAUGACGGUACCUGACUAAGAAGCCCCGGCUAACUACGUGCCAGCAGCCGUGGUAAUACGUAGGGGGCAAGCGUUAUCCGGAUUUACUGGGUGUAAAGGGAGCGUAGACGGCAGCGCAAGUCUGGAGUGAAAUCCCAUGGCUUAACCAUGGAACUGCUUUGGAAACUGUGCAGCUAGAGUGCAGGAGAGGUAAGCGGAAUUCCUAGUGUAGCGGUGAAAUGCGUAGAUAUUAGGAGGAACACCAGUGGCGAAGGCGGCCGCCUGGCCUGUUGCUGACGCUGAGGCACGAAAGCGUGGGGAGCAAAUAGGAUUAGAUACCCCGGUAGUC